rnacentral:lncRNA from 1 species
GGGGGCUGGAGGUUCGGUGCCGAGGGCGGGCUAGGAAACCUGUGCAGGUCCCCGGGGAGCCUGGGAGGGAAACCGAAGACUCUCCUUCGGGGCCACAGCCUCACCUCGAGCUCUUGGAGCUUGUUUGGCGAGGGUUUAGCCACCUGCCCCCGCUCCACGGUGUCCGUAGGAUUCUAUGCAUGACUGUGGAACAAGACCACACCCACUGGUCGGACACUGGAUCAACGCAUCUACACCAGUGUGGACAACCCUGGUCACUCUUUCAUCAAGACUUUGGGCAUGGUGGCUGGAAAUGAGACCUGUGAGAUGUUUGCUGACCUGUUUGACCCUGUGAUCCAAGAGUAACAUGAUGGAUAUGACCCC